GCAAACUCAAGAGCUUUCACUCCACACUUGCCCACACGUUUUUGCCUCCAAGCUUCCAAGCUUUCAAGUGCUCAAGUGUCCUAACUUUCCAAAGCUUCAAAAGCUCUCCAACUUCUUCUUCUAAUCUUCUUGUUCAUCUUUACAAGUAAGAAGUGUUGUUUGCUUUAAUAUUCCACUCCUCUAAUCACCUCUUGUGUGUGUCCACUUUGGUUGAGAGGGAUGUCUCAAUAGUACCAAAGUGUGAGAGAAGGUUUUUGAGCUCAACCAUAAAGCUCUAGUUUGGUUUUAUAGAGUUUCCGGGAAAACUCUUAGGUCGAGUCUACCUUGAAAGAUUUCAGGGUUUUUAAGAGUUCCUUGAUACUCUAAGGUACUAACUUACCCGUAAAAGUUAGAGGUUCUUAAGAGUGCCCUUGAUACUCUAAGGUGUGAGUCUACCCGUAAAAGACUGGUUCCUAAGCGAAGUAGCCUUAAAGCUUAGAGAGGUUUUUAAGAGUUCAUUGAUACUCUAAGGUAUUAACUUACCCGCAAAAGUUAGAGGUUCUUAAGAGUGCCCUUGAUACUCUAAGGUAUGAGUCUACCCGUAAAAGACUGGUUCCUAAGGGAAGUAACCUUAAAGCCUAGAGAGGUUCUUAAGAGUUUCCUUGAUACUCUAAGGUUUUGCUAUAACCUUUAGAUGAGUGAAUUCCGACAGUUGGUCGGGACUGGACUAGCCAUUGUUUGGGUGAACCAGUAUAAAUCUCUUGUAUUGUUCUUUGUUAACUCUAAUUUUUAUCUUUCAUCUAAAAACAACUAAACAACACUUAAUUGAAAAAGAUCCAUCUUCCAGUUAUCUGGUCAAAUACAGAGGUUGACUACUUUACGCAGAUCCCUCAUCCAGUUAUCUGGUCAACUAUCUGAGGUUAUAUUAAUUGCUUUAAAUCCUUAUUUAUAUAUUUGUUCAAGCAUUUACUUAUCAUAUAUAUAUCCAGUUAUCUGGUCAUUUACUUGCUUAUCAAUAUAUCCAGUUAUCUGGUCAUUUACUCUAUAAUAUAACUUGUGUUUAUAAUAUAACUUAGUAUUCAUAUACUAUAGUUGUUUAUAAAACACCAUCUGAAAAGUUGACUACGUAUUCAUAUACUGUAGUAAACUUCAAGAGCAAAAGACAAGUCCAAUAUAUAUAAUAUUAUAAGAUAUAAUAUUAUAUUGUUUAAAAUC
rnacentral:lncRNA from 1 species